UAAAACUCAAAUGAAUUGACGGGGGCCCGCACAAGCGGUGGAGCAUGUGGUUUAAUUCGAUGCAACGCGAAGAACCUUACCUGGUCUUGACAUCCACGGAAGUUUUCAGAGAUGAGAAUGUGCCUUCGGGAACCGUGAGACAGGUGCUGCAUGGCUGUCGUCAGCUCGUGUUGUGAAAUGUUGGGUUAAGUCCCGCAACGAGCGCAACCCUUAUCCUUUGUUGCCAGCGGUCCGGCCGGGAACUCAAAGGAGACUGCCAGUGAUAAACUGGAGGAAGGUGGGGAUGACGUCAAGUCAUCAUGGCCCUUACGACCAGGGCUACACACGUGCUACAAUGGCGCAUACAAAGAGAAGCGACCUCGCGAGAGCAAGCGGACCUCAUAAAGUGCGUCGUAGUCCGGAUUGGAGUCUGCAACUCGACUCCAUGAAGUCGGAAUCGCUAGUAAUCGUGGAUCAGAAUGCCACGGUGAAUACGUUCCCGGGCCUUG
rnacentral:rRNA from 1 species